GAUGAACGCUGGCGGCGUGCCUAAUACAUGCAAGUCGAGCGAAGGGACGAGAAGCUUGCUUCUCUGAUGUUAGCGGCGGACGGGUGAGUAACACGUGGAUAACCUACCUAUAAGACUGGGAUCACUUCGGGAAACCGGAGCUAAUACCGGAUGAUAUUUUGAACCACAUGGUUCAAAAGUGAAAGACGGUCUUGCUGUCACUUAUUGAUGGAUCCGCGCUGCAUUAGCUAGUUGGUAAGGUAACGGCUUACCAAGGCAACGAUGCAUAGCCGACCUGAGAGGGUGAUCGCCCACACUGGAACUGAGACACGGUCCAGACUCCUACGGGAGGCAGCAGUAGGGAAUCUUCCGCAAUGGGCGAAAGCCUGACGGAGCAACGCCGCGUGAUUGAUGAAGGUCUUCGGAUCGUAAAACUCUGUUAUUAGGGAAGAACAUAUGUGUAAGUAACUGUGCACAUCUUGACGGUACCUAAUCAGAAAGCCACGGCUAACUACGUG
rnacentral:rRNA from 1 species